UGCUUCAUUUCAAAUAUUUACUCAGCCUUGUGUAUUUUAUGGUAUCUCACGGUGCAGACAACCCAUCAUAGCCUAGGGGCUGAGGCACAAGCAGCCUUCGCGGUGAGAUACCAUAUUAUGUGAAGUCAUUGCCAGGUGGUGUCAGCAAGACAGACACUAUAGGGCUGCGGGGUGAGCGGCAGUCUUGUGGAGGAGGGGGGGCAUGGAAAGCAGUGCAUAGUUUGAGAGGAGCAAAGAAAAGAGACCUGGCUUUGUGGUGCACAUGUGGCUUCUGGUUUGAGGUGUCCCUGUCCCUAUUGCCGGCAAGUGCAGGGUGCCCGCAGCACAGUCCCGCAGCACGACCCACUGGCGCGUGGAGAGCGGGAGCACUAUGACUUUUUUUUUCUUCUCCAUAUAAACCAAUAUUUACCAGUAAUCCUGUGUUUCUGUUUCUGUUUUUUGGCAGACUUUUACCAGUAAAUAUCGGUUUAUUCCUGAAACCAGAAGCCCUAAACAUACCUUUGUUUAUAAGUUUUCCUGCUCUGCAACUCUGGAAAUGGAGCCCGCAGGACCUAGAGCCUUCUCUUGGUAACGUAGACUGAAGUUUACAAAUUAUUAUUUAACACUUUAAAGUCUGCUUUUAAGGACAGCAGUGUUCCCGUCUGCCUGGUACGGGGCUGGUAGGAAUUCCUGCAGGUGCAUGACGUAGUUCACCUUCCCAGAGCCUGUGGGCAGGUGUCUCAAAAAGCAUCUUCAGGUUUGGGCUUGGAAAGUAAUUUCUCCAAAAGUAGAUGCUGCAAAAUGGCAUUUUGGUUUUACAGUGAAGAGGAUGGGGGGAGCGAAGGGUGGGAACUGAGUAUGGAUAUGUCUUUUUCUGAUUUUUUUUUUUUAAUUUUUCUCUAUAUUCUGCUAGAAAGCAAGGCUUCUGUUUUGGAAAAGAAGCAUAAAGUGGGGAGGAGGGAGAGAAUUUGAGCAUUGCCCAUCCUAAAAUAGUUUUAAACACUUUCUCCGAGGCUGAUGGAAAAGGCAGGUGAAAGGUCUGAUCCUUAAAAGGACAUUGCUAGGUAUUUGGGACUCCAAAAGCAGCUGGUGCUUCUUAAUGACUGCAAUUGAUUUAGGUAAUUUUCAAAAUUUGGUCUAUACUAAGACAAAUCAGCUUGGGAGAGUUGAAGACUCCCUUUUUUUCCUAAGAGUUUGCAACCCAAAUGCUGCAGUACUGUGCUAAUACUUGUGAAACAGCAAAGCUGGUGAGGAAUAGAAAAUGAGUUGACUACAUGGUCCCAGCCAAUUUUUUUUUCUUUUGAAAGAACAAAAUGAAAAAAUCAUAAUCAAAACCACUCCAAGCCAAAAAAUGCAACCUCCAUAGAGCAAGCAGAACAGCAUCUCAAGUGAUUUGAUUUGGUUUUGUCAUGCAUGGUUGGCAAGAGCAUUUCUGGUAUAGCUGCAACCUAACUAUGUCCCUUUAAGACUAACUUCAUCUCAAUGAAACAAAAGACAAGGUUUUGCACUAUAGAGCAGAUCAAAGCUCCUGCAGCCUUAGUUGGAGUCCAUAAUGACGGGAGUCUUCCAGCUGUACACUCUGAGCUGAAAACUACCUUUCCUCCCCUUUUGCAGCCUGUGUGGUUCUGAUUGCUGGCAGUUCUCUAAUACAGCUUUAAUCUGAGCAGUUGAGGCUGGUCCCACCUUACCUUCAGACGUCUUGCGGAGGACUCCUGUUACCAGUUUGGUACUCAAAAGCUACACCCCACCAUGAGAAGUCAAUUAUUUUUUAAAAGGCAGUGAUAGAUUACUGUCUCUAGUUCUAAUGGAAAAAUUAUAUUGCAAUGCAACUUUAUAAUAAAUUGUUCAUAUAUUCAUAAUUCCGUGGCAAUCCCAAAUCGGAGGACG
rnacentral:lncRNA from 1 species